rnacentral:rRNA from 1 species
AGUGAACGCUGGCGGUAGGCCUAACACAUGCAAGUCGAACGGCAGCACAGUAAGAGCUUGCUCUUACGGGUGGCGAGUGGCGGACGGGUGAGGAAUACAUCGGAAUCUACUUUUUCGUGGGGGAUAACGUAGGGAAACUUACGCUAAUACCGCAUACGACCUACGGGUGAAAGCAGGGGAUCUUCGGACCUUGCGCGAUUGGAUGAGCCGAUGUCGGAUUAGCUAGUUGGGGGGGUAAAGGCCCACCAAGGCGGGGAUUCGCAGCUGGUCUGAGAGAAGGGUAGCCGGCCUUGGAGGGGAGACAGGCACCAUGGUCCUACGAGAGGGCCCAGUGGGCAAUGGGGGACAACGGGGGCGAGCCUGGUCCAGCCAGCCGAAGUGGGUGAAAAAGGCCUUGGGGUUGUAAAGCCGUUUUUUGGGUAAUAAAAAGCAGUCGCUUAUUACCCAGCGGUUGUGACGGUACCGAAUAAAGAAGCACCGGCUAACUACGUG